rnacentral:rRNA from 1 species
GACGAACGCUGGCGGCGUGCUUAACACAUGCAAGUCGAACGGAAAGGUCCUGCUCUUGUUCGUUUCUCGAGUGGCGAACGCGUGAGUAACACGCGUGUAACCUGCCCUUAACUUUCUGAUAACAUCAGGAAACACCGGCGAUUACCCCAGAUGAGCUCCUGCUCCAUGGUGUUGUUUAGAAAGUUUCGGCUGUUGGGGAUGUACUCGCUGCUUAUGAGCCUGUUGGUGUGGUAGGGGAUUACGAAGGCUUUGACGGCUAGCCGACAUGGGAGGGGUACCGGCGACAUGGGGCCUAAGAUACGGACCAGAAUGCUAUGGGACGCAGCAGUGGGGAGUAUUGCAGAGUGGGGGGAAGCCUGAUGUAGAAACGCCGGGUGCGGGAUGACGGCCUUCGGGUGGUAAACAGCUUUCGAAGGUGACGAAGAGUGAGUGACGGUAAUGGGUAAAGAAGCAACGGCUAACUACGUG